rnacentral:rRNA from 1 species
CCUACGGGUGGCAGCAGUAGGGAAUCUUGCACAAUGGGCGAAAGCCUGAUGGAGCAACGCCGCGUGAAGGAUGAAGGCCUUCGGGAUGUAAAACGCUUUUAUAAGCGAGAAAGAUGAUGGUAACUUAUGAAUAAGGAUCGGCUAACUACGUGCCAGCAGCCGCGGUCAUACGUAGGGUCCGAGCAUUAUCCGGAGUGACUGGGGGUAAAGAGUUGCGUAUGUGGCAUAAUAAGUAGCUAGUGAAAACUGGUGGCUCAACCAUUCAGACUAUUAGCUAAAUUGUUAAGCUCGAGACCGUGAGAGGUAAGUGGAAUUUCUGGUGUAGCGGUGAAAUCCGUAGAUAUUAGGAGGAACACCAAUAGCGAAGGCAGGUUGCUGGGACGGUUCUGACGCUGAGGCACGAAAGCGUAGGGAGCAAACAGGAUUAGAUACCCGGGUAGUC